rnacentral:lncRNA from 1 species
GGGGCCUGUUGGUCCCCUUGAGCUAAUGGCUGCCUGGAGGGGUGCGGACUAAACUGAGCUCCCUUAAGAAAAAGGAAGAGCCCCAUUCCAGGGCCCUUCAUUGUGGCUGACAUUGACACUGAGCUCUGACAGCACAGGAACCUGGCUGGGAGCCCUUGAGUCACGCGGCAUGUGUCACUUCGGUGCAUGGACCAGGAGGGGAGACAUGGACCACAUCCUGGGCAGAGCAGAAGGAUGGAAGCCAGGCUCCCUGAUGGCACCUGAGCCUUCUGAUCAGCUUGGGUGUCACCUCCUCUGCAUUUCUAGCACCUGGUCUACUCAGCCCUGGUGUCCCUCUGUCAUCAGAUGCCACUGAGGCAGGAAGAUCUGAGUUAGAAGGAGUCAUGAGGCCACCUGUCACAUCCAGGCAAGGACCCCAUUUAUACCCUAGCUGUGGCAGUCCCUUCUCUCCAGCCAUCCUUAGGCUGGAACUUGACAUCCUCCUGCCUCAGCCUCCCAGAGUGCUGGGAUUACAAGCAUGUGUGCCACCAUGCCCGGCAACUUCUCCUGUUUUAAUCUGCCAAGCUUCCCCCUUUUGUAAUUCUCCCUUUUUGUAAUUUGCAUUCUGGUUCUGGAGGGGAGGGGUGACCAAGUAACCCACCCUCUGGCCAUAGAGAUGCCAUCUGACUUUGGUCUGACCAGUCACAGUCCUCCAUUCCCUGGCACAGUGAUUGGCCCAGUGGCGGGACUGUAACACAGACUGGGCCAGUCAGAAUCUUUCCCUGGUCUUUAUUAUGUUAGCUAAUGGCCCUCGUCAGGUAGGAAGGCAGCACGUGGAGAGGAGAGUCAUCCUGAGAGGACAGGAGCUGGGCCCACUGUCCCUCUGCAUAGAGCCGUCCUGAG